rnacentral:rRNA from 1 species
AGGACGAACGCUGGCGGCGUGCUUAACACAUGCAAGUCGAGCGGAAAGGCCCUUCGGGGUACUCGAGCGGCGAACGGGUGAGUAACACGUGAGGAACCUGCCCUGGACUUUGGGAUAACCCUCGGAAACGGGGGCUAAUACCGAAUACGACACGGUCUCGCAUGAGAUCCGUGUGGAAAGUUUUUUCGGUCUGGGAUGGUCUCGCGGCCUAUCAGCUUGUUGGUGGGGUAAUGGCCUACCAAGGCGACGACGGGUAG